rnacentral:lncRNA from 1 species
ACUUGUGGCAAGUCUAACAGUGUGCUUGCUGCACAGCUAACUUUGGGCGAUCUUACGUCAUCGCAGCUUUCGCGGCCAGUUUGGAAUUGGCUUCCUCUCCGAUGACGACGGACUGAGCAACAACACAAAGAUAUCGAACUUCUUGAAAUUUGACUGUUUUGUACGAUCGCCGGCCGCCGCAGUAUAUUCCAACAUUGAAUCGAUAAUUAAUAGUUAAUACUCUAAACAAAGUCAUAUGACCAUUGACAACUAUGGCUUGGCUAGGCCUAGCUUGGCUUGGUCUAGCCGAAAUUGGUCUAGGCCUAGCUUGGCUUGGUCUAGGCCUAGCUUGCCUAGCCUGGCUACGACGAAUCAAGGCAGUCGCGAGAAAUUAGUACUGAGGCUAAAUCAAAUUUUGCCUUGGGUGCCCUUUUAUACUUGAAAUUUUGGCCUUGGUGCCUUUCCAUUUGGCCCUGGUGCCUUUCAAACUCAUGUCAUACCGCAGGCCAUUUGGCCUGCCCAUAAAAUCCCCAAAUUCGAGGCCUGCACUGUCAUUUGGGGCCAUUUUUUCCUGGGUCAUUUUUCCGGGGAAAUUCUUACCAUACCCCCGAAAACAACCACCCACUGUUAACGUGAGAGGUAAAUGGCUAAGAAAGCUUAUACAAUUGUUCAAAAUAGUGUUUAUUUAUCCUAGCAUUCUCCUUGGAUUGUAUGCUUCGUAAUUGAAGUGAUCAUCACCAUCCUAUUUGGGUUCUUUACUAGAUUUAGGGUGAGUGAUUUUCAUACCAAAAGUGCUCUAUUUUUUUCACAUCCCUGAAGAGGAGUAUAGGUGAGUGAUAGUGUGGUCCCUAUACAGAAUUUUUUUAGUAGACAUAGAUAGUUUGUAGUAGACAAAGUCUAUUUUUUUUAGACGAUAAUAGGCUGUUAAUAGAUUUUUCAUGUCUACUAAGGAUUUCCUCCUUUAGUACUACCUUAGUAGUAACUUAGUAAGCUUUGUCUACAGAUGAUAGAUCACAAAUAGUUUAUUAAUAGUUUAUACAUAUCUAUUUAUUACCGUAGUUGGUAUUUAUUAUAGAUGGGCAUAACAAAGGGUUGGCAAUAGUAAUAUAUCUAUUUAUGUGCUAAAUAGUUGUUAUCAAUUUAUAAUUUUAAGUUCAUAAUUUUAUAAGUAGGUUUGUGUCUAGCUAUUUAAGAAGAUAUUAUGUAGACCCAAUAAUUAAAUAAAAUUAACAUAUUAUUAGCAGAUUCUAAUUAGUUUUUGUCAAUCUAUUAAGGGGACUGAUAGAAAUAUUUUUACUUUAUAAAUAGACCACUGAUAGGUAGAUGGUAAUAUAGUUUAAUAAUAGUGAUUGUUUUUGAAAACCUCAGCGAAAUAUGCUAGUGAGGCGAAAAACUACUAAAAUCUACUGAAAACCUACAUAUUAGUAGGCGUUUAAUAGUCAGUAGGGCUAAAUCUACUAAGUGCCAUAUGGCUAAAUCUACUAAAAAUGAGCAAUGUCUACUAAGGAAUUUCGGUAUGAGGGAGUGCAAUCGCUUGCCUCAAAUCACAAGCCAGCACCUAAAAACUUUGUUCAACCAGAUUUCUAUUUUAAACUAUCAAUUUUUAUCAACUAUCCAAAAAAACUACAUCCAUCCACAAUAACACAGUUAGCCAAUCAAGCCUUGAUUUUGUUUUGGGAGAAUAUGUUGCGCAGUAUGGUAUGGUACUGUACGUCUUCACAAAUAUGAGGAGAAAGCAAAAAUCUUUACUGUACAAAGUUGCACUGAUAAUUAUGGUAUAGUUAGCAAAUCACACAUAGGGCGAUAGUUACCAUUAGCUGGUAUCAUUUCUCAGCGACCAUUGAAAAAAUGCAGGGUAAAACUAAAAUAAAUAAGAAUGAUGCUAGUUAUAUUGUUUACAAUUUCUAUUUGCAAAACCAGUUGAGAUUUGUAUUCAACUUUGGUCAACAAACUGCAUGUCACUCUGUUCCGUCGCUCCAUUACCGGAAAGAUGCAUUAUUUAUGUCGUAUCAUUAAUAUGUAUCAACCACUUUUCAAAUCAAAGGUAGCUCAAUAAAGGUUUAUGAAUACUGAAAUAUAUAAUUAUCCUUAGAAACUUAUUUAAAGAAUUCGUAGAGCUUUGGCAAUAUCUAUUUUGGUAAAAAAAAAACCAUGUCAAUUUUGCGUCACUGUUACUGAAGUUACAAUUAUUCAUAUUUCAUAUUUCUGAUGGAUAAUUUUUGUAAGGUACAUAUUUUUAGAAAGAAAGUAGUAGUAGUAAUAGACACUUGGUAAGGUGUUUGUUGGUUGAGAAUAUAUUUUCUGUACAUCUGUUUAAAAGUUUAAAUUACUGUAUUGGAAAUGUCCUUUAAUAAUUGUUUCCGUGACAGGAAUUGAACCCAUGACCCUGGGAUAGCAAAGCAAGUAUCUUUCUACCAAGAUUUCCAGGUUCACUAAUUAUUUAUUAUUAAUGAUGAUGAUAAUAAUCUUGGGAGAAGAUUUUGAUGUCAUUUGUUGUGAACAAUUUAAUGUGGCUAAUAUUUCAUUUUUAGUAUAUACAUUCUCUGUGUGAGGUCUUAUUAGCAACAAGCAAAAAACAGUUAUCAUGGAUUUAAAGAAUUUCUAACUAGCAGUUAAUUUAGAUUCACUGUACUGUACCCUUUCAUUACCAUUAUUAUUAUUGUCCUUUACACUAGCUUACUUCUAGUGAGUCCAUCAAUGAUGUUAAAAAAAUAGACAGAGUAUAUGACAGAUUAAUGAUAAUUUAUUGUUUUCUUUUUAUUUACUAAUACAUGCAUUAAAUAGAUUCUUAUUUUGAAAUGAGCAUUAAAGGAUAUUAUUUUAAUAUUAUUACUAUUUUUAUUUUAUUUUAUGUAUUUACUAUACAUGUAUUUACUAAUACAUGCAUUAAAUAGAUUCUUAUUUUGAAAUGAGUAUUAAAGGAUAUUAUUUUAAUAUUAUUACUAUUUUUAUUUUAUUUAAAAAAAAUAAUAUUAAUGUUUUCAGUAACAGAUUGUUUAUUCCCAAAAUUUAUCAUAUUCAUUUUAAUUAUUUAUUUUGUUAAAUAGUGGUUUGCGAGACAAGGCCUGUAGCCAUUGUGUGAUGACAGGAUGUGUGGCCUGUAGAUCUGAAGAUUCUCUCCACAGCCACGUAACAUGCACAGUGAUAGAUUCUCAGUACUGAACGUCAAUGAUGCAGACUGUGACCAUCAUCGGAAGAGCAGCAGUCCUGUAAUGAUCCAAAUGGGCAACACCUAGCUGGCUGGGGGUCAUGACCCCCACUACAUAACUAAAAAGACAAAUCAAAUGAAGCUUAGUCACACACCGGAUUGGAAGCAAUGUUUACAAGGGCGCCCUCGGUCAUCAAAGUCUGUUACAGAAAAAAAGCAGCUGAAAAUUAGAAACAUUAAUUCAGCUCGUCCAUGACUAGAACAUGUUGCUAAUCGUCAUUUAGUUCCAUCUCCUGCUUCAUCGAUGUACUCCUUGAAUGAUGCCUGUUCAUCGUACGAGCAAAGUUGUUUACACCAAGCUCCCCAACACAACAUCAAUACUCAACGAGUGACAACACAUCCAUCCUAUCAAGGCCAAGCCUGUCCACCAUCACCUUUCAAUAUGACAGUAAAGUAAAUGUUUUUGCUCAAUAAUUUCUUCUUUUUUUUUCUAAUUUUUACGAAACUUUUUACAUACUUUGUUAAAAGCGUGGCUCAUCAUUCCCUAUCUAGAGAAUUAUAACAUUUAUUAUAUUUAAUUUAAUAUUUUCAUAUUUAUAAUAAAACCCAAUUUUAUCUUAAGCUACAGUUCUUUAACAGAGCUCAGAUAUUUAAGUUUUGAAGUUUAUUUAUUUGAUCUAAAUAACGUAAAACCUCAAAUUGAAGCCCUGGGCUUCUUUUACUUUAGUGAACUUUUGAUGGGCUUCAUUUUUAAGCUACUUUUGCAAAGUAAAGAUGGGGCUUCUUUUCAAAAUGAAUGCUGUAAAUUUUGGGAAUUACUUCUAUAUGACAAUAAAUAGGGCCACUUUAACAUCAAUCUGUAUCAUGCAGUGUAUUAA